ACAACAGUUGGAAACGACUGCUAAUACCGCAUAAUGUAUCCGGGAGGCAUCUCCUGGAUACCAAAGGAGAAAUCCGCUGAUGGAUGGGCUCACGUCUGAUUAGCUAGUUGGUGAGGUAACGGCUCACCAAGGCUGCGAUCAGUAGCCGGACUGAGAGGUUGAACGGCCACAUUGGGACUGAGAUACGGCCCAGACUCCUACGAGAGGCAGCAGUGGGGAAUAUUGGGCAAUGGGCGAAAGCCUGACCCAGCAACGCCGCGUGAAGGAAGAAGGCCUUCGGGUUGUAAACUUCUUUUAAGAGGGACGAAGAAGUGACGGUACCUCUUGAAUAAGCCACGGCUAACUACGUGCCAGCAGCCGCGGUAAUACGUAGGUGGCGAGCGUUAUCCGGAUUUACUGGGUGUAAAGGGCGCGUAGGCGGGAAUGCAAGUCAGAUGUGAAAUCCAAGGGCUCAACCCUUGAACUGCAUUCGAAACUGUAUUUCUUGAGUGUCGGAGAGGUUGACGGAAUUCCUAGUGUAGCGGUGAAAUGCGUAGAUAUUAGGAGGAACACCAGUGGCGAAGGCGGUCAACUGGACGAUAACUGACGCUGAGGCGCGAAAGCGUGGGGAGCAAACAGGAUUAGAUACCCUGGUAGUCCACGCCGUAAAC
rnacentral:rRNA from 1 species